CGCAAGCCUGACGGAGCAAGACCGCGUGCGGGAUGACGGCCUAAUGGUUGUAGACCGCUUUUCUCUGGGAAGAUGAUGACGGUACCAGAGGAAUCAGCCUCGGCUAACUCCGUGCCAGCAGCCGCGGUAAUACGGAGGAGGCAAGCGUUAUCCGGAAUUAUUGGGCGUAAAGCGUCCGUAGGUGGUUAUUCAAGUCUGCUGUCAAAGCGUGGGGCUUAACUCCAUAGAGGCAGUGGAAACUGGAUGACUUGAGUGCGGUAGGGGUCGAGGGAAUUCCCAGUGUAGCGGUGAAAUGCGUAGAUAUUGGGAAGAACACCAGUGGCGAAAGCGCUCGACUGGGCCUGCACUGACACUGAGGGACGAAAGCUAGGGGAGCG
rnacentral:rRNA from 1 species